rnacentral:rRNA from 1 species
UAAAUGUUUUGGUACUGGCUCAGGAUGAACGCUGGCGGUCUGCUUAACACAUGCAAGUCGAACGGAAUCCUUCGGGAUUUAGUGGCGGACGGGUGAGUAACACGUGAGAAUCUGCACUCAGGAUGGGGACAACAGCGGGAAACUGCUGCUAAUACCCAAUGUGCCGAAAGGUAAAAGAUUUAUCGCCUGAGAAUGAGCUCGCGGCCGAUUAGUUAGUUGGUGGGGUAAUGGCCUACCAAGACGGCGAUCGGUAGCUGGUCUGAGAGGAUGAGCAGCCACACUGGGACUGAGACACGGCCCAGACUCCUACGGGAGGCAGCAGUGGGGAAUUUUCCGCAAUGGGCGCAAGCCUGACGGAGCAAGACCGCGUGGGGGAGGAAGGCUCUUGGGUUGUAAACCCCUUUUCUCAGGGAAGAAGUUCUGACGGUACCUGAGGAAUCAGCCUCGGCUAACUCCGUGCCAGCAGCCGCGGUAAUACGGAGGAGGCAAGCGUUAUCCGGAAUUAUUGGGCGUAAAGCGUCCGUAGGUGGUGGGGCAAGUCGGCGGUUAAAGACUGGGGCUUAACUCCAGAAAGGCCGUGGAAACUGCACCACUAGAGGGCAGUAGGGGUAGAGGGAAUUCCCGGUGUAGCGGUGAAAUGCGUAGAGAUCGGGAAGAACACCAGUGGCGAAAGCGCUCUACUGGACUGCAACUGACACUCAGGGACGAAAGCUAGGGGAGCGAAUGGGAUUAGAUACCCCAGUAGUCCUAGCCGUAAACGAUGAUACUACGUCCCG